rnacentral:antisense_RNA from 1 species
CUUCACCGAGCCCAGCCACAGCGGCCGGUCCGUGGGGCGGUCGCGGCCGUAUCCGGCCAACAACGCGGUCGCCUC